GAUGAACGCUAGCUACAGGCUUAACACAUGCAAGUCGAGGGGUAACGAGAGGGAAGCUUGCUUUCCUUGUCGACGACCGGCGCACGGGUGAGUAACGCGUAUCCAACCUGCCCCCAACUAGGGAAUAACCUUGCGAAAGUAAGACUAAUACCCUAUAAUUUCCUCAGAUGUCAUCUGACGAGGAAUAAAGAUUUAUCGGUUGUGGAUGGGGAUGCGUCUGAUUAGCUUGUUGGCGGGGUAACGGCCCACCAAGGCAACGAUCAGUAGGGGUUCUGAGAGGAAGGUCCCCCACAUUGGAACUAAUACACGGUCCAAACUCCUACGGGAGGCAGCAGUGAGGAAUAUUGGUCAAUGGGCGGAAGCCUGAACCAGCCAAGUAGCGUGCAGGAUGACGGCCCUAUGGGUUGUAAACUGCUUUUAUACAGGAAUAAAGUUAGCCACGUGUGGUUAUUUGUAGGUACUGUAUGAAUAAGGACCGGCUAAUUCCGUGCCAGCAGCCGCAGUAAGAC
rnacentral:rRNA from 1 species